GACGAAGGAUCCAAGCGUUAUCCGGAUUUAUUGGGUUUAAAGGGUGCGUAGGCGGAAUAAUAAGUCAGUGGUGAAAGCCCAAAGCUCAACUUUGGAACUGCCAUUGAUACUGUUAUUCUUGAGUAUGUUUGAAGUGGGCGGAAUGUAUUGUGUAGCGGUGAAAUGCUUAGAUAUAAUACAGAACACCAAUUGCGAAGGCAGCUCACUAAACCAUAACUGACGCUGAGGCACGAAAGCAUGGGGAGCAAACAGG
rnacentral:rRNA from 1 species